ensembl:lncRNA
GGACUUUUAAGCUCCCCUAGACUUAGGUGCUACUUUUAGGCCAAAAAUACUUUGUGAAUUGCUCUUAGUGAAAAAAGUUAGGAGUCCUAAAUUUAAGAGUGACACGCCCAUUAUUAUUAAGAGUUACUCCUAAAUUCACCAGUUAGGACCUACUUUUAGCCCUAAGAUCCUUUGUGAAUACGGCCCCUGAUCUUUUGACUAAAUUGGCUUUGGUGACAUUACAUCUAAACCCUACUUGUGAUUUAUUUUUCACCCUCAGGUCAACAGCAGAAUUGGAGUCAUUCCACAACGACAUACUCAUGUAGGCUAGCAAGCGCCACAGCUCCUCACCACAAGGGUAUACAGCUCGGACAUUGUUGGCUGGCCUGGAUUAUAAUCACCAUCUUGACAGACCCGCCAAGGGAAGACAAGACGGCUCAAUACAGUAUCUGUCGCACUCCUCAGCAAGAUUUCAAAUAUUGAAAGAUGCUGUUGAAAAUAGUCUUAGUACCAAGGUUUGGCAAGACCUACAAUAAGAGGUCAUGGACGUGGCGGCUGUGCACAGUUAAAGUGGACAAAGACUUCAGCUACAUUCCGGAACUGCAGAGCAUCAUCCUGCAGCUAAGGCUGACUGCUCCAGGGGGGUUGGCACAGUCCAAACCCUCAAAACCAGAAGAUCCACGCAGGCUGGGAGUCCUCUGGUAUCCCUGCCCCAAAGUGUUGAGGAACUCUUGCAGAAGCAAGUCAGCAGAGGCUUAGCACAGUCCCCGCUAGAUCAGAGCUAGCCUGGAGCAUUCCUGAAAACUGAACAAAUCCACACCACAGCACCAACACCUGACCGUUCUUCAAAACCUGAUAGAAAUGACUUUGUAUUUUUUGUAAGCUUAUUGUUCUUAUAGGCUUCUGUCAUGGUG